rnacentral:tRNA from 2 species
CGGGCUGUAGUAUACCGGUAGUACGUGCCCAUGGGGUGGGUAUAGACCGGGUUCGAUUCCCGGCAGCCCGACAA